AGAUUGAACGCUAGCGGGAUGCUUUACACAUGCAAGUCGAACGGCAGCGCGGACUUCGGUCUGGCGGCGAGUGGCGAACGGGUGAGUAAUAUAUCGGAACGUGCCCAGUAGCGGGGGAUAACUACGCGAAAGCGUGGCUAAUACCGCAUACGCCCGUACGGGGGAAAGGGGGGGAUCGCAAGACCUCUCACUAUUGGAGCGGCCGAUAUCGGAUUAGCUAGGUUGGUGGGGUAAAGCUACACCAAGGCUUCGAUCCGUAGCGUGGUUUGAGAGGACGACCAGCCCACACUGGGACUGACGACACGGCCCAGACUCCUACGGGAGGCAGCAGUGGGAAU
rnacentral:rRNA from 1 species